UACGAAGGGGGCUAGCGUUGUUCGGAAUCACUGGGCGUAAAGCGCACGCAGGCGGAUCGUUAAGUCAGGGGUGAAAUCCCGAGGCUCAACCUCGGAACUGCCUUUGAUACUGGCGAUCUUUGAGUCCGGGAGAGGUGAGUGGAACUCCGAGUGUAGAGGUGAAAUGCGUAGAUAUCUGGAGGAACACCGGUGGCGAAGGCGGCAUCCUGGACCGGUAUUGACGCUGAGGCGCGAAAGCCAGGGGAGCAAACGGG
rnacentral:rRNA from 1 species